AGCGAACGCUGGCGGCAGGCCUAACACAUGCAAGUCGAGCGCCCGUAGCAAUACGGGAGCGGCAGACGGGUGAGUAACACGUGGGAACGUACCCUUCGGUUCGGAAUAACCCAGGGAAACUUGGACUAAUACCGGAUACGUCCGUAAGGAGAAAGAUUUAUCGCCGAAGGAUCGGCCCGCGUCCGAUUAGCUUGUUGGUGGGGUAAUGGCCCACCAAGGCUACGAUCGGUAGCUGGUCUGAGAGGAUGAUCAGCCACACUGGGACUGAGACACGGCCCAGACUCCUACGGGAGGCAGCAGUUGGGAAUAUUGGACAAUGGGCGCAAGCCUGAUCCAGCCAUGCCGCGUGGGUGAUGAAGGCCCUAGGGUUGUAAAGCCCUUUCGGCGGGGAAGAUAAUGACGGUACCCGCAGAAGAAGCCCCGGCUAACUUCGUGCCAGCCGCCGCAGUAA
rnacentral:rRNA from 1 species